UAUCAAUCUAUUUCACUUUUGGAUAAUUUUUUUUCAGGACUCAGGUUUUGAAAUACCUCAAAGGAAAGCGACAGAUUCCUUGAAUAACCAAGGACUGCUGACUGGAGUGGUAAUCUGUGGUAUACUAGUCGUUAUAUUAACUGGAAUCGUCAUCUUCUUAAUCAUCUAUAUUAUAAGAAUUAAGGAAAGAACACAUUCUUCUGACAAUAACAAGAAGAACUAUACAAGCAAUUCAUCAACUGUAGUGGCAACCGGUCGUCCAACGUCAGCCUAUACCACAUUAAAUCCAAGUCAAGUAAAUGACACAAAUGAACAGCAUUACACCGGAUUAUCGAAUGUUUCUCAGUAUAUUGAGGUUCACUAAUUAUUCGU